rnacentral:tRNA from 1 species
GCGGAAGUGGCGGAGCUGGCCGACGCGCCAGGUUGAGGGCCUGGGCCUCGCAAGGGGGGGGGGGUUCGAAUCCCCCCUUCCGCA